UUCCGGUUGAUCCUGCCGGAGGUCAUUGCUAUUGGAAUCCGAUUUAGCCAUGCUAGUCGCACGAGUUCAGACUCGUGGCAGAUAGCUCAGUAACACGUGGCCAAACUACCCUGUCGAUCGGGACACCCUCGGGAAACUGAGGCUAAUCCCGGAUACGGCUCGCUGCCUGGAGGUGGCGCGAGCCCGAAACGUUCAGGCGCGACAGGAUGUGGCUGCGGCCGAUUAGGUAGACGGUGGGGUAACGGCCCACCGUGCCGAUAAUCGGUACGGGUUGUGAAAGCAAGAGCCCGGAGACGGAAUCUGAGACAAGGUUCCGGGCCCUACGGGGCGCAGCAGGCGCGAAACCUUUACACUGCACGCGAGUGCGAUAGGGGGACUCCAAGUGCGAGGGCAUACAGUCCUCGCUUUUCACCACCGUAAGGAGGUGGUAGAAUAAGUGCUGGGCAAGACCGGUGCCAGCCGCCGCGGUAAUACCGGCAGCACGAGUGAUGACCGCUAUUAUUGGGCCUAAAGCGUCCGUAGCCGGCCGGGCAAGUCCAUCGGGAAAUCCGCACGCCUAACGUGCGGGCGUCCGGUGGAAACUGUUCGGCUUGGGACCGGAAGAUCCAGAGGGUACGUCUGGGGUAGGAGUGAAAUCCUGUAAUCCUGGACGGACCACCGGUGGCGAAAGCGCUCUGGAAGGACGGAUCCGACGGUGAGGGACGAAAGAUAGGGUCACGAACCGGAUUAGAUACCCGGGUAGUCCUAGCCGUAAACGAUGUCUGCUAGGUGUGGCACAGGCUACGAGCCUGUGCUGUGCCGUAGGGAAGCCGUGAAGCAGACCGCCUGGGAAGUACGUCUGCAAGGAUGAAACUUAAAGGAAUUGGCGGGGGAGCACUACAACCGGAGGAGCCUGCGGUUUAAUUGGAUUCAACGCCGGA
rnacentral:rRNA from 1 species